GACGAACGCUGGCGGCGUGCUUAACACAUGCAAGUCGAACGCUGAAGCUCAGCUUUUGUUGGGUGGAUGAGUGGCGAACGGGUGAGUAGCACGUGAGUAACCUGCCCCCUUCUUUGGGGUAACGCCCGGAAACGGGUGCUAAUACUGGAUAUUCACUGGUCUUCGCAUGGGGGUUGGUGGAAAGGGUUUUUCUGGUGGGGGAUGGGCUCGCGGCCUAUCAGCUUGUUGGUGGGGUGAUGGCCUACCAAGGCUUUGACGGGUAGCCGGCCUGAGAGGGUGACCGGUCACAUUGGGACUGAGAUACGGCCCAGACUCCUACGGGAGGCAGCAGUGGGGAAUAUUGCACAAUGGGCGCAAGCCUGAUGCAGCGACGCCGCGUGAGGGAUGGAGGCCUUCGGGUUGUGAACCUCUUUCGCUCAUGGUCAAGCCGCAACAAUGGUUGUGGUGAGGGUAGUGGGUAAAGAAGCGCCGGCUAACUACGUG
rnacentral:rRNA from 1 species